CGGGCACCUUCGGGUGUCAGUGGCAGACGGGUGAGUAACACGUGGGAACGUGCCCUUCGGUUCGGAAUAACUCAGGGAAACUUGAGCUAAUACCGGAUACGCCCUUAUGGGGAAAGGUUUACCGCCGAAGGAUCGGCCCGCGUCUGAUUAGCUAGUUGGUGGGGUAACGGCCUACCAAGGCGACGAUCAGUAGCUGGUCUGAGAGGAUGAUCAGCCACACUGGGACUGAGACACGGCCCAG
rnacentral:rRNA from 1 species